rnacentral:rRNA from 1 species
AUGCAGUUCAUAGACCGGCCAGUAGUUAUUGAGAGCGACUGUGCGAAUGUCAUCCAACAAAUUUCUUCAAAGGACUUUAAUAGAUCUCCCAUUGGUAGCUUGUGUAGGGAAAUUCAGAGUUUGCUGGGCCAACUCCCUGAUUUUACUAUUGCUAAGAUCUCUAGAAAUGGCAAUAGGGUUGCCCACGCUCUCGCUAGUUUUGGUAGGAGCGGUGUGAAUAAGGGUGUGUUGAUCGGCUCAGUUCCAGCCUGCGUGUUGCGACUGGUCAAUGAUGAUUGUAAUGAACCUAUGUUGAUUAUUUAA